GGGUACAGGUGUAGCAAUACAUGCUGACGACCGGCGCACGGGUGCGUAACACGUAUGUAAUCUACCUUUAACUGGAAGAUAGCCCGAAGAAAUUCGGAUUAAUAUUCCAUAACAUAAUGAAGAGGCAUCUCUUUAUUAUUAAAGCUCCGGCGGUUAAGGAUGAACAUGCGUCUGAUUAGCUAGUUGGCGGGGUAACGGCCCACCAAGGCAACGAUCAGUAGGGGAUCUGAGAGGAUGAUCCCCCACACUGGUACUGAGACACGGACCAGACUCCUACGGGAGGCAGCAGUAAGGAAUAUUGGACAAUGGGGGCAACCCUGAUCCAGCCAUGCCGCGUGAAGGAUGAGGGCGCUAUGCGUUGUAAACUUCUUUUGAACGGGAGAAACCCCGGGUACGUGUACCCGGUUGAUAGUACCGUUAGAAUAAGGGACGGCUAACUUCGUGCCAGCAGCCGCGGUAAUACGAAGGUCCCGAGCGUUAUCCGGAUUCAUUGGGUUUAAAGGGUGCGUAGGUGGAAUGAUAAGUCAGUGGUGAAAUCUUGCAGCUUAACUGUAAAACUGCCAUUGAUACUGUUGUUCUUGAGUGUAGUUGAUGUGGGCGGAAUAUGUCAUGUAGUGGUGAAAUACUUAGAUAUGACAUAGAACACCGAUUGCGAAGGCAGCUCACAAAACUAUUACUGACACUGAGGCACGAAAGCGUGGGGAUCAAACAGGAUUAGAUACCCUGGUAGUCCACGCCCUAAACGAUGAUCACUCGCUGUUGGCGAUACACAGUCAGCGGCUAAGCGAAAGCGUUAAGUGAUC
rnacentral:rRNA from 1 species